rnacentral:rRNA from 1 species
GACGAACCGUGCGAACGUUGUUCGGAAUCACUGGGCUUAAAGGGCGCGUAGGCGGGCGGCCAAGUCAGGGGUGAAAUCCCGCAGCUCAACUGCGGAAGUGCCUUUGAUACUGGUCGUCUCGAGGGAGAUAGGGGCAUGCGGAACUUCCGGUGGAGCGGUGAAAUGCGUAGAUAUCGGAAGGAACGCCGAUGGCGAAAGCAGCGUGCUGGAUCUCUUCUGACGCUGAGGCGCGAAAGCUAGGGGAGCAAACGGG